UUAUGGCUCAGGAUGAACGCUAGCGGCAGGCUUAACACAUGCAAGUCGAGGGGCAUCGGGAGUAGCAAUACUUGCCGGCGACCGGCGCAAGGGUGCGUAACGCGUGAGCAAUAUGCCCGUAUCAGGGGGAUAAUCCAUGGAAACGUGGUCUAAUACCCCAUAGUAAUUAUGUAAGGCAUCUUAUAUAAUUUAAAGCUUUGGUGGAUACGGAUUGGCUCGCGUGACAUUAGCUAGAUGGUAAGGUAACGGCUUACCAUGGCUACGAUGUCUAGGGGUUCUGAGAGGAAGGUCCCCCCACACUGGAACUGAGACACGGUCCAGACUCCUACGGGAGGCAGCAGUGAGGAAUAUUGGACAAUGGAUGGAAAUCUGAUCCAGCCAUGCCGCGUGCAGGAAAGACGGCCCUAUGGAUUGUAAACUGCUUUUGUAUGGGAGCAAUAAGGGCUACGCGUAGUCCGAUGAGAGUACCAUACGAAUAAGCACCGGCUAACUCCGUGCCAGCAGCGGC
rnacentral:rRNA from 1 species